rnacentral:rRNA from 1 species
GACGAACGCUGGCGGCGUGCUUAACACAUGCAAGUCGAACGGAAAGGCCCUGCUUUUGUGGGGUGCUCGAGUGGCGAACGGGUGAGUAACACGUGAGUAACCUGCCCUUGACUUUGGGAUAACUUCAGGAAACUGGGGCUAAUACCGGAUAGGAGCUCCUGCUGCAUGGUGGGGGUUGGAAAGUUUCGGCGGUUGGGGAUGGACUCGCGGCCUAUCAGCUUGUUGGUGGGGUAGUGGCUUACCAAGGCUUUGACGGGUAGCCGGCCUGAGAGGGUGACCGGCCACAUUGGGACUGAGAUACGGCCCAGACUCCUACGGGAGGCAGCAGUGGGGAAUAUUGCACAAUGGGCGGAAGCCUGAUGCAGCAACGCCGCGUGCGGGAUGAAGGCCUUCGGGUUGUAAACCGCUUUCGCCUGUGACGAAGCGUGAGUGACGGUAAUGGGUAAAGAAGCACCGGCUAACUACGUG